UACGUAGGGUCCGAGCGUUGUCCUGAAUUAUUGGGCGUAAAGAGCUCGUAGGCGGUUUGUCGCGUCUGCUGUGAAAUCCCGAGGCUCAACCUCGGGUCUGCAGUGGGUACGGGCAGACUGGAGUGCGGUAGGGGAGAAUGGAAUUCCUGGUGUAGCGGUGGAAUGCGCAGAUAUCGAGAGGAACACCUGCGGCGAAGGCGGGUAGCUGGGCCGACACUGACGCUGAGGCGCGAAAGCCAGGGGAGCGAACGGG
rnacentral:rRNA from 1 species